UCAGCGACUUAUAUUCUGUAGCAAGGUUAACCGUAUAGGGGAGCCGUAGGGAAACCGAGUCUUAACCGGGCGUUAAGUUGCAGGGUAUAGACCCGAAACCCGGUGAUCUAGCCAUGGGCAGGUUGAAGGUUGGGUAACACUAACUGGAGGACCGAACCGACUAAUGUUGAAAAAUUAGCGGAUGACUUGUGGCUGGGGGUGAAAGGCCAAUCAAACCGGGAGAUAGCUGGUUCUCCCCGAAAGCUAUUUAGGUAGCGCCUCGUGAAUUCAUCUUCGGGGGUAGAGCACUGUUUCGGCUAGGGGGCCAUCCCGGCUUACCAACCCGAUGCAAACUACGAAUACCGAAGAAUGUUAUCACGGGAGACACACGGCGGGUGCUAACGUCCGUCGUGAAGAGGGAAACAACCCAGACCGCCAGCUAAGGUCCCAAAGUCAUGGUUAAGUGGGAAACGAUGUGGGAAGGCACAGACAGCCAGGAUGUUGGCUUAGAAGCAGCCAUCAUUUAAAGAAAGCGUAAUAGCUCACUGGUCGAGUCGGCCUGCGCGGAAGAUGUAACGGGGCUAAACCAUGCACCGAAGCUGCGGCAGCGACACUAUGUGUUGUUGGGUAGGGGAGCGUUCUGUAAGCCGUCGAAGGUGUACUGUGAGGUAUGCUGGAGGUAUCAGAAGUGCGAAUGCUGACAUAAGUAACGAUAAAGCGGGUGAAAAGCCCGCUCGCCGGAAGACCAAGGGUUCCUGUCCAACGUUAAUCGGGGCAGGGUGAGUCGACCCCUAAGGCGAGGCCGAAAGGCGUAGUCGAUGGGAAACAGGUUAAUAUUCCUGUACUCGGUGUUACUGCGAAGGGGGGACGGAGAAGGCUAUGUUAGCCGGGCGACGGUUGUCCCGGUUUAAGCAUGUAGGCGGAGGUUCCAGGUAAAUCCGGUUCCUUGUUAACGCUGAGGUGUGAUGACGAGGCACUACGGUGCUGAAGUAACAAAUGCCCUGCUUCCAGGAAAAGCCUCUAAGCAUCAGGUAACAUCAAAUCGUACCCCAAACCGACACAGGUGGUCAGGUAGAGAAUACCAAGGCGCUUGAGAGAACUCGGGUGAAGGAACUAGGCAAAAUGGUGCCGUAACUUCGGGAGAAGGCACGCUGGUGCGUAGGUGAAGCGACUUGCUCGCGGAGCUGAAACCAGUCGAAGAUACCAGCUGGCUGCAACUGUUUAUUAAAAACACAGCACUGUGCAAACACGAAAGUGGACGUAUACGGUGUGACGCCUGCCCGGUGCCGGAAGGUUAAUUGAUGGGGUUAUCCGUAAGGAGAAGCUCUUGAUCGAAGCCCCGGUAAACGGCGGCCGUAACUAUAACGGUCCUAAGGUAGCGAAAUUCCUUGUCGGGUAAGUUCCGACCUGCACGAAUGGCGUAAUGAUGGCCAGGCUGUCUCCACCCGAGACUCAGUGAAAUUGAAAUCGCUGUGAAGAUGCAGUGUACCCGCGGCAAGACGGAAAGACCCCGUGAACCUUUACUAUAGCUUGACACUGAACAUUGAGCCUUGAUGUGUAGGAUAGGUGGGAGGCUUUGAAGCGUGGACGCCAGUCUGCGUGGAGCCAACCUUGAAAUACCACCCUUUAAUGUUUGAUGUUCUAACCUGGCGCCAUAAUCUGGCGUGGGGACAGUGUCUGGUGGGUAGUUUGACUGGGGCGGUCUCCUCCUAAAGCGUAACGGAGGAGCACGAAGGUUAGCUAAUCCUGGUCGGACAUCAGGAGGUUAGUGCAAAGGCAUAAGCUAGCUUGACUGCGAGAGUGACGGCUCGAGCAGGUGCGAAAGCAGGUCUUAGUGAUCCGGUGGUUCUGAAUGGAAGGGCCAUCGCUCAACGGAUAAAAGGUACUCCGGGGAUAACAGGCUGAUACCGCCCAAGAGUUCAUAUCGACGGCGGUGUUUGGCACCUCGAUGUCGGCUCAUCACAUCCUGGGGCUGAAGUAGGUCCCAAGGGUAUGGCUGUUCGCCAUUUAAAGUGGUACGCGAGCUGGGUUUAGAACGUCGUGAGACAGUUCGGUCCCUAUCUGCCGUGGGCGCUGGAGAAUUGAGGGGGGUUGCUCCUAGUACGAGAGGACCGGAGUGAACGCAUCACUGGUGUUCGGGUUGUCAUGCCAAUGGCAUUGCCCGGUAGCUAAAUGCGGAAGAGAUAAGUGCUGAAAGCAUCUAAGCACGAAACUUGCCCCGAGAUGAGUUCUCCCUGAGACUAUAAGUCUCCUGAAGGAACGUUGAAGACGACGACGUUGAUAGGCCGGGUGUGUAAGCGCAGCGAUGCGUUGAGCUAACCGGUACUAAUGAACCGUGAGGCUUAACCUU
rnacentral:rRNA from 1 species